AACGAACGCUGGCGGCAGGCUUAACACAUGCAAGUCGAACGCCCCGCAAGGGGAGUGGCAGACGGGUGAGUAACGCGUGGGAAUCUACCCAUCCCUACGGAACAACUCCGGGAAACUGGAGCUAAUACCGCAUACGCCCUUAGGGGGAAAGAUUUAUCGGGGAUGGAUGAGCCCGCGUUGGAUUAGCUAGUUGGUGGGGUAAAGGCCUACCAAGGCGACGAUCCAUAGCUGGUCUGAGAGGAUGAUCAGCCACAUUGGGACUGAGACACGGCCCAAACUCCUACGGGAGGCAGCAGUGGGGAAUAUUGGACAAUGGGCGCAAGCCUGAUCCAGCCAUGCCGCGUGAGUGAUGAAGGCCUUAGGGUUGUAAAGCUCUUUCACCGAUGAAGAUAAUGACGGUAGUCGGAGAAGAAGCCCCGGCUAACUUCGUGCCAGCCGCCGCUGUAAGAC
rnacentral:rRNA from 1 species